rnacentral:rRNA from 1 species
GAUUAACGCUGGCGGCGUGCCUAACACAUGCAAGUCGAGCGGCAGCGCGUUUUACACUGAAUUUUGGAAGCUUCCAGUCGAAAGAGAAGAUUUAUUCAAGAAUUUUGUGUAAAUUGUCGGCGAUCGGCGGACGGCUGAGUAAUGCGUGGGAACGUACCCCAAAGCGAGGGAUAACGCAUCGAAAGGUGUGCUAAUACCGCAUAUGGUCUUCGGAUUAACGCCUUCGGGCGCUUUGGGAACGGCCUGCGUAAGAUUAGAUGGUUGGUAGGGUAAUUGCCUAGCUAGUCGACGAUCCUUGACUGGUAUGAGAGGAUGAUCAGUCAGACUGGAACUGAGACACGGACCAGACUCCUACGGAAGGCAGCAGUAAGGAGUCUUCCACAAUGAGCGAAAGCCUGAUGGAGCAACGCCGCGUACAGGAUGAAGGCCUUCGGGUUGUAAACUGCUUUUAUAAGUGAGGAUUAUGACAGUAACUGAUGAAUAAGGAUCGGCUAACUACGUG